UCGAACGAGGAAGUGGAGCAAUCCAUGAGUAAAGUGGCGACCGGGUGAGUAACACGUGACUAACCUACCUUUUAGUGGGGGAUAACCCCGGGAAACCGGGGCUAAUACCGCAUAACAUAGCAAGAUCAAAGCAGCAAUGCGCUGGAAGAGGGGGUCGCGGCUGAUUAGCUAGUUGGCGGGGUAACGGCCCACCAAGGCGAAGAUCGGUAUCCGGCCUGAGAGGGCGCACGGACACACUGGAACUGAAACACGGUCCAGACUCCUACGGGAGGCAGCAGUGGGGAAUUUUGCGCAAUGGGGGAAACCCUGACGCAGCAACGCCGCGUGGAGGAUGAAGCCCCUUGGGGCGUAAACUCCUUUCGACCAAAACGAUAAUGACGGUACUGGUGGAAGAAGCACCGGCUAACUCUGUGCCAGCAGCCGCGGUAAUACAGAGGGUGCGAGCGUUGUUCGGAAUUAUUGGGCGUAAAGGGCGCGUAGGCGGUGCCACAAGUCACUUGUGAAAUCUCCGGGCUUAACUCGGAGCCUGCAGGCGAAACUGUGGUGCUGGAGUAUGGGAGAGGUGCGUGGAAUUCCCGGUGUAGCAGUGAAAUGCGUAGAUAUCGGGAGGAACACCUGUGGCGAAAGCGGCGCACUGGACCAUAACUGACGCUGAGGCGCGAAAGCUAGGGGAGCAAACAGAUUAGAUACCCUGGUAGUCCUAGCCCUAAACGAUGAUUGCUUGGUGUAGCAGGUACCCAUCCUGCUGUGCCGCAGCUAACGCGAUAAGCAAUCCGCCUGGGGAGUACG
rnacentral:rRNA from 1 species